CAGCAGCCGCGGUAAUACGGAGGGUGCAAGCGUUAAUCGGAAUUACUGGGCGUAAAGCGCACGCAGGCGGUCUGACAAGUCAGAUGUGAAAUCCCCGGGCUUAACCUGGGAACUGCAUUAGAAACUGUCAGGCUGGAGUCUUGUAGAGGGGGGUGGAAUUCCAGGUGUAGCGGUGAAAUGCGUAGAGAUCUGGAGGAAUACCGGUGGCGAAGGCGGCCCCCUGGACAAAGACUGACGCUCAGGUGCGAAAGCGUGGGGAGCAAACAGGAUUAGAUACCCGUGUAGUCCCUGUCUCUUAUAC
rnacentral:rRNA from 1 species